UUGAGGAGAGACACAGAAAACAGAGAGCAAACACGGAGGCAAAGAUAAAUGAGCCAUAUUGAUUUAUUCCCCACUGACUGGAUUUAAAUUCACAUCUAAAGCAGUUUUAACUUCACAAGACAAAAUAAUAAAGUUAGAGAACAUUUUUGGACAGGGUCACAUGCACUUUCAUCCAUUCAUUUUUGGAUUUUCUGUAUCUGGGUAUAAUGUCCACACUGAAUAAUCUAUAAUCAAAUAUAUAUGAUUAUAGAUUCUGUAAUGCUAUUUUAUACUGAAUGUUUAUGGCAAACAUUUAAACUGCCACACAAUUUGCAGCAGCAUGUCCCAAACUCAUAUUUAGCACUUAUAUCAAAAACACUCAAACUAUGAGUAAGUGUCAAACAUGACUUGAAUUAAAAGCCAUUUUGUGGUAACAGAAACUUAAUAAAGUGAGGCCAGUUUAAUUAUGGGACUCCAUGAAGGCGAGAGAUGGAAACAAGGAAUUGUUGGGAAAUAAUACAUAUGAGUGCAGGAAAACCUGCUAAUCUUCUAUAUAAAUUAGUAGGAGGUAGAAAAUGUAUCAAAAAGCCUUCCCACGCUCAGUCCCACCCUACAUACUAAACCAUCACUGUGGUAACAUGUUUAGGGGACAAGGUCCCUCUGGCCGUGCACCUGGCUGGGUGUCACUCUGUAUUUGUGUGGGUGUGUGUGUGUGUGUGUUUGUGUGUGUGUGUGUGUGUGUGUGUGUGUGUGUGUGUGUGUGUUUUCAGUCUGAGAC